UACGUAGGGGGCUAGCGUUGUCCGGAAUCAUUGGGCGUAAAGAGCGCGUAGGCGGCUAGAUAAGUCCGGUGUGAAAGUCACAGGCUCAACCUGUGAAUGCCGCUGGAAACUGUCUGGCUAGAGUCCGGAAGGGGCGAGUGGAAUUCCUGGUGUAGCGGUGAAAUGCGCAGAUAUCAGGAGGAACACCAAUGGCGAAGGCAGCUCGCUGGGACGGUACUGACGCUGAGGCGCGAAAGCCGGGGGAGCAAACGGG
rnacentral:rRNA from 1 species